rnacentral:lncRNA from 1 species
GAGUCUCAGACAUGUAGGACUCAUAGUCUAUGAAUAUUAAGACUCUUCAUCAGCCAUCAGAUCAGAUAGGAACCUCUAAUGUGUGUGACCCCACAGGUUCGAACCUAAGCCGGUAGCACAGGAACCAAUUUCUGUACUAAUCGAAGUGACCAUCUAGCAAUGAUACCCGACAUCUGGAUAGAUCAAAUAGUCACAAUCACAACACUCAGAAUCUACGUGAAUAUGGUUACUGUAUAAUUCAUCCCUUUUGACCCCUGUGUUUAGGA